CCAAUUUGGAUUGAGUCACACUCCUGCUUGUGACUUCACCAUUUGAAACAUGUGGUCUCCAAGGUCACUGCACCAGGGGGAAAGAGGGCUGGAAGACCCAGAAAAAAUAUUUCUAAGACCUGGGCCUGAAUGGAUUUAGACCAUUUCUCCCACAACUCAUUGGCUUGAGCUCAGUCACUUGGCUCCAUCAACGUGAAAACAAGGCUGGACAACAAGUCAUCUUCUGUGGCUAGAAGGAAGAAUUGAGUGUCACCUGCUCCAUGAAGUGUCUUGAUCACAUUCGGUACACAGCUCUAUCAGUUCACAUAAUUCUCAUGGGCAGCAUGGCAUAGAAGUUACCUGCGGUCAACCUCUGUCCGGAAGCAGACGAUCCUCCUUGUGAUGAAUUGUCAGAAGGUCACUAGUAGCCUAACAAUACAUCACAACGCCUACGUCAUUCACCUCACUUCAUCUCAACAUGCAAGCGUUUUAUCAUCUCACAUCAUCACAAGAGGAAAAAGAGCUUCUGAUGUGUCUACCUGCAAGGCCAAGUGCAGUAAUUUGUGAGCAUGAGUUCAUCCAGUCAUUAAUAAAUACUUUACAGCAUCUAUAUACCAGGCACUGUGUUUGGUUCUAGG
rnacentral:lncRNA from 1 species